rnacentral:tRNA from 1 species
GGGGAUAUAGUUUCGUGGUAGAGUGUGUGCCUAGCAAGCACAAGGUCCUAGGUUCAAUCCCCAGUACCUCCA